rnacentral:rRNA from 1 species
UACGGAGGGUGCAAGCGUUAUCCGGAUUCACUGGGUUUAAAGGGUGCGUAGGAGGGCAGGUAAGUCAGUGGUGAAAUCUUCGAGCCUAACUCGGAAACUGCCGUUGAUACUAUCUGUCUUGAAUACCGUGGAGAUGAGCGGAAUAUGUCAUGUAGCGGUGAAAUGCUUAGAUAUGACAUAGAACACCAAUUGCGAAGGCAGCUCACUACACGAAUAUUGACACUGAGGCACGAAAGCGUGGGGAUCAAACAGG